UGGGGGAUAUUGCACAAUGGGCGAAAGCCUGAUGCAGCGACGCCGCGUGGGGGAUGAAGGCUUUCGGGUUGUAAACCUCUUUCGCUAUCGAACAAGGCCCGCUUAGGGUGGGUUGAGGGUAGGUGGAGAAGAAGCGCCGGUUAACUACGUGCCAGCAGCCGCGGUAAUACGUAGGGCGCGAGCGUUGUCCGGAAUUAUUGGGCGUAAAGGGCUUGUAGGCGGCUUGUUGCGCCUGCUGUGAAAACGCGGGGCUUAACUUCGCGCGUGCAGUGGGUACGGGCAGGCUUGAGUGUGGUAGGGGUGACUGGAAUUCCAGGUGUAGCGGUGGAAUGCGCAGAUAUCUGGAGGAACACCGAUGGCGAAGGCAGGUCACUGGGCCAUUACUGACGCUGAGGAGCGAAAGCAUGGGUAGCGAACAGG
rnacentral:rRNA from 1 species